rnacentral:rRNA from 1 species
CGAAUGUAGCAAUACAUGGCGUACUGCUCAGUAACACGUGGAUAACCUACCCUCAGGUCGGGGAUAAACCCGGGAAACUGGGUAUAAUACCCGCUAGAUCUCGAAGGCUGGAAUGCAUCGAGAUUGAAAGCUCCGGCGCCCGAGGGUGGAUCUGCGGCCUAUCAGGUAGUAGUGGGUGUAGCGUACCUACUAGCCUACGACGGGUACGGGUUGUGAGAGCAAGAGCCCGGAGAUGGAUUCUGAGACACGAAUCCAGGCCCUACGGGGUGCAGCAGGCGCGAAAACUUUACAAUGCCGGCAACGGCGAUAAGGGGACCUCGAGUGCCAGGUUACAAAUCUGGCUGUCGAGAUGCCUAAAAAGCAUUUCAUAGCAAGGGCCGGGCAAGACCGGUGCCAGCCGCCGCGGUAACACCGGCGGCUCGAGUGGUAACCGUUAUUAUUGGGUCUAAAGGGUCUGUAGCCGGCCGGAUAAGUCUCUUGGGAAAUCUGGCAGCUUAACUGUCAGGCUUUCAGGAGAUACUGUUCGGCUCGAGGCCGGGAGAGGUGAGAGGUACUUCAGGGGUAGGGGUGAAAUCUUGUAAUCCUUGAAGGACCACCAGUGGCGAAGGCGUCUCACCAGAACGGACCUGACGGCAAGGGACGAAAGCUAGGGGCACGAACCGGAUUAGAUACCCGGGUAGUCCUAGCCGUAAACGAUACUCGCUAGGUGUCGGCCACGGUGCGACCGUUGUCGGUGCCGUGGGGAAGCCGUGAAGCGAGCCACCUGGGAAGUACGGCCGCAAGGCUGAAACUUAAAGGAAUUGGCGGGGGAGCACCACAACGGGUGGAGC